rnacentral:tRNA from 1 species
GCGGACGUGGCGGAACUGGCAGACGCACCAGACUUAGGAUCUGGCGGGGCAACCCAUGAGAGUUCGAGUCUCUCCGUCCGCACCA